UACGUAGGUGGCGAGCGUUGUCCGGAAUUACUGGGCGUAAAGGAUGCGUAGGCGGAAAGAUAAGUGAGAUGUGAAAUACCCGGGCUUAACCUGGGGGGUGCAUUUCAAACUGUUUUUCUAGAGUGCAGGAGAGGAAAGUGGAAUUUCUAGUGUAGCGGUGAAAUGCGUAGAUAUUAGGAAGAACACCAGUGGCGAAGGCGACUUUCUGGACUGUAACUGACGCUGAGGCAUGAAAGCGUGGGGAG
rnacentral:rRNA from 1 species